UAGGGGCUCCGUAGGAACGACAUGAGUAGCCUAACUGAUGAAAAAAACAAAACAAAAAAACAUUUUGGGGUGAGAUAUCCCUUUAAGACUCGCGAAUCUCCGAGUCUCAAGCUUCGAAUUUCAGGACUCGAGUUUUUCUCUCUGCCAAAAGCAAAACUAUAACCAACAUGAUGGAUUUAUUUUCAUGUAGCCUGGUCGUUUUUUUUUAAUUGAGCAGAAUAAGUUUUUACACGCAUAUCCAACCUGUUUGAGUUUAAUUAUCACUGACUCGACACACCCUCAUGUGACCACCUGUACCGGUUUUUCCUGAAGAUGUGCCGCAGGCUCAUCGGUCCGAGAAGGGUAAAUGCCGAGAAUUAAAGGAAAGCCAAUAGACAUUCACACCUGCGCGCCGACACACCUAAAAGCUUCCACUUUUCACUCACGGAGGAGAAAGUGUUGAAGUGUAGAGUUUAAAACUGUUUGGAGGUUGUCAUUGCUGAGUGUUGGGUGUGUAGAUAUCCAUGUUUCGACACGGGACUCGCGUUUGGACCGCUGUUGCUGCGUUUCUCUUAGAUGUUGCAUAACACCUGUUUGCCUGGAGUUUUUGACCUGCACUGCACAUUGCUAGGAAUCGUGGCUGAGAUGAACAGCAGGAUUUCAGUCAUUGUUUCUAGUAGUGUGCGCUGCAGAUAUUCAGCUUCUUGCCAUGAAUAUCUGGGAGUAUCUGGAGUCACAUCUACAAUCAUAAUGAGAAAAAGGUCUAAUACAAUGCAUGUAUGGCACAUAUGUGUAUAUAUAUUGGUUGCCGCUGGAUGGCAGUGGAAUGCAAGGAAAGUGACAACGGCAACUGAUCUGCAUGCAACAUGCAAGUAACUGAAAAUCUUUGGCAUGUUGGCGAACCUGCCCAGGAGAGGCAGUUCAGUUGUUAGGAAUUUAGACUUCCUCAUUCAAUUGUAAUUGAGGCCUUUAUGCAGAAAAUAACCACACCAGAUUUGGAUCAUGCAUUUGAUCAUUUAUAGCAAUUUGCUUUAAGGCUUCUCUUUUUGUUGUUGUUGUUGUUGUUGUCUUACAUUGGGUUGUUUUUCAAGUGUCAGUGACAAAUAAAGAUGAUGAAUGUU